GUCAGUAAUAAUCAUGAAUAUCAUCAGGCUGACUCUGGUGGUCGUGCUGGUUCCAGUGCUUGUCUGGACUCUGUGGACGAGGAUGAAGAAAACUCUGAGCUUGAAAUCAGAAGUGAAUGAAGCUGUGGAGAUGAAGUCAGACGAUUGUCCUGAGUAUGAGAACGUCACGGCUGCAGCAGAGACAGAAGACACAGAGGAGCAGGAAGACCUGGUGUGAAGCAUCAGAGCCACUGUGACAACAAUAACAAAGAUGGACGACUUCAGAGUACAUCCGUACAAGACGCUGAAAGUAUUUAAGAGGGGACAGGAAGUCUCUCUCUCUUUCCAUCCGCGGUUGCAGCAGCAGUUUGUACAGCAUGACCUUUAGAGCAAGAGUUUUAUUGUGUUGUUUCUUUUCUUGUUCUUUUCUGAUGGGUCCUGUCGUCCAGUGUUCACGGCUUUAUUUCUGUUUGCUUUAGUUCUGAUGUUGGUUUAGGUUGAAGGAAGAUUCUUAGAUCCUACGACUCUUUGUGGGUUGAUGUGUUGGCUUUUCCUUCUUUUCUCCAUUUUGCCGGCCUGUUGUUGAGCUUCUUGUCUUUUCUGCAAUGAAUGGACUUGUUUUUUUACUGUUACCCUCUGAACCAUGUUGGACGUCUUUGUGAUGAGCCUUUGAGGGUGUCGUAACACCACGUGACUCAUCUCGUGUCUUCUACAUGAUAUUAAUGUGGUCAUUACAAUACGCAGAAGGAAAUCAAUCAUUAUGUAUCGUGAUUUUAUGAUUCUUUCUUAUGUUUUUGGUCUUGUUUUCAUCAGUUUGUUGGUUUUUCAGCAGAAUUACACCAGAAAACUAAAAACUGAU